rnacentral:sRNA from 1 species
GCCAGGCACAGUGGUGAAUGCCUGUAAUCCCAGAAGCUUGGGAGGCUGAGGCAAGAGGAUCUCGAAUUCAAAGCCAAACUCAGCAAAAGUGAGGCACUAAGCAACUCAGUGAGACCCUGUCUCUG